GGGCCCUUAGCUCAGUUGGUAGAGCGGUCGGCUCAUAACCGAUUGGUCGUAGGUUCGAGUCCUGCAGGGCCCAUCA
rnacentral:tRNA from 1 species